rnacentral:lncRNA from 1 species
CCAUCAGUAGUAGAUCUCCACAAAGGAGCUAGCAUCCCGAGGAGAUCAUCAAUCGUUGAACCUCUAAUUGAAUCAAGAGCCUCGUGUGGAUACUGUGGAGGCCGAACGUCUAUGCGGGUAGAAGCAACUGACAAAAUCAUGGUUAUCAGAUGCAGUGGAUAUCGACCCAUGCUCAGGUAUUGAGUUAUGAACUCAAAAAAAUUGUAAAUGUGAUUUACCACAGAUAUGAUCUAUGAUUUUCAUAUUUCAAAUUGUGCAUAUUUGUUAUGUCAUCGAUCCAUGCUAGGUAGUUUUUUUUUUUAAAUCAGAUCUAAUGCGUGCUAUGUUAAUGUGAUUA